rnacentral:rRNA from 1 species
GUGGGGAAUUUUGGACAAUGGGCGCAAGCCUGAUCCAGCAAUGCCGCGUGCAGGAAGAAGGCCUUCGGGUUGUAAACUGCUUUUGUACGGAACGAAAAGGCUCUGGUUAAUACCUGGGGCUCAUGACGGUACCGUAAGAAUAAGCACCGGCUAACUACGUGCCAGCAGCCGCGGUAAUACGUAGGGUGCAAGCGUUAAUCGGAAUUACUGGGCGUAAAGCGUGCGCAGGCGGUUUUGUAAGACAGACGGGAAAUCCCCGGGCUCAACCUGGGAAUGGCGUUUGUGACUGCAAAGCUGGAGUGCGGCAGAGGGGGAUGGAAUUCCGCGUGUAGCAGUGAAAUGCGUAGAUAUGCGGAGGAACACCGAUGGCGAAGGCAAUCCCCUGGGCCUGCACUGACGCUCAUGCACGAAAGCGUGGGGAGCAAACAGGAUUAGAAACCCCAGUAGUCC